rnacentral:miRNA from 14 species
UUGCAAUGGCCCUGACUGAAGGCCAGCAGUUGGUUACACUAGAGCCCAUAGUUUCAAGAGAGGCUUGAACAACUGUAUUCCUGCAGUUUAUUGGCUAUUCU